ensembl:lncRNA
AGAAGAUAGCCCUGAAGUCUCCCAAAGGGCAGUGGCUGCCGGCUCUCCUCGGUUGAGCAGCUGCUGCCCGUGAGGGGGCGCUGGCGGCCGGGGAGUUAAGGAUGGGGCCUUGGUCUCCCGAACCCAGUGAGUGGCUUGGGUUGUCAAGCCACUCGUCUUUUUUUUUUGAUAAUUUUUUUUUUUGUCAUGAUGCUGUUUUGGCCUCCGACUCCGUGAAGGGAGCCAUAUUAAGAGUGCAGAAGAGGUGACCCGGAGGAAAAAUUAAAAGGCGACUUUUAAACAUAGAGUUUUUCUUUCUUUUCUCUCUCUCAAAUUAAUUUAGAUGUAAAUUACAUUUGGAAAGAUCAGGCUCGAAGGCUCUCAUUUACCCUCACCAGAUACUUAGAAUAAGAUUUCGGUGCGAUAGUAAUUUUGCCAAUGGAGGCCGACUCCCUAAAACAUCACCCUGGUUAUUAUAGAAUAUUCAGUGGAGUUCCUGUGCUAUAUGGGCACAGCUCAGCCUUCUUGCACCUGGAAGCACGUAAGCACUACCGUUGGGGGCCACUGAAAACAGUGAAAUCACCCGCAAAAACAAACCUGAAAAACAGCACUAAGUAGACCGUGAAUGGGACACUUGGCAGGAUGAGAGCUGAAACAAGAGGCGGAGUGUUGCUGCUGGGCCUCAGCUGGGAACGUAACUGUCCCAUGACUCAGAUUGGUUGUUGCUCUGGAUUUGUCUGGGAUUGACCAUGAAAACCUUAUGAGUACUGAUUGGGGAAUUACAGAUAAAUUUUAGUAAGUAGGCAAAUUGACAAAUACAGAACUUGCAAAUCAUGAGGAUGAACCAAAUGUAGAGAGAGGACCAGUUUCUCAACUGUGUGACUUGUCCAGUCACAGAUUGCAUUCAGAAGGGCCUUGAGCUUGGUUUAAUGCUCUGCUGUUGUUACUGUCCUGAAAUUCCUAACUUAAAAAAAAAAUUAUAGUUGAUUUAUAAUAUUGUGUUAGUUUCAAAUGUACAGCAAACUGAUUGGGUUAUAUAUAUACUAUACAUAAUUUUAUAUAAAAUAAAAUUAAUAAAAUGUUUAUUUUAUAUAAAAAUACAGAUUAUUUUCCAUUAUAGGUUAUUAUUAGAUAUAAAAUAUAGUUCCCUGUGCUAUACAGUAAACCCUUGUUGCUUGUUUUUAUCUAUUUUAUAUAUAGUAAUGUGUAUCUGUUAAUCCCAUACUCCUAAUUUAUCCCUUCCCCCCACCUUGAAAUUCUUAACUUUUAAACAAGAGGCCUCAUGUCAUUUUCACUUUGCUGGUCUUGUAGCUGGUCUUGUCGCUGGUCGUGUCUUUAUGUUUGUGUAUGCAUAUUUAAUUGCAUAAAUGAGAUCAUAUUAUAAAUACCCUUCCUUUUUUCCUUCUUAUAGUUUCCUUUUUUAAAAAUUCAAUCUUUGGUGGUAUUUUUAUAUAGACAUAUAUAAAUCUACUUUCAUCCUUUUAACGUCUGUGGUAUAGAUGUAUCAUGAUUUAUUUUUCAAGUCUCCAAUUACUCUGGACAAUACUUUGUUUAUGAAUUUUUACUUUUAGGAAUUAUGCCAAAAGAACUACCCUUGUUACACACACACACACACGCUUUGGCAUAUCAUCCAAUUAUAUUCAUACACUACACUAGCAGUAGAAUUGCUGCUACAUUGAAGUAUAUUUGUAUUUCAAAUAAUGAUCAUUAUUGCCUUGUUGCUCUCUAAAAAGUUUGUACCAGUUCUCACUCAUACCAAGAAAAUUUGAGAAUUUAUGUUCUUAAAUAUAGCUUGCCAACUUCACAAAUUUCCAAACUUAAAAAAAGUUGUCAAUCUGGGCUUUCCUGGUGGCUCAGUGGUAAAGAAUGGAAGAUCCCCUGGAGAAGGAAAUGGCAACCCACUCCAGUAUUCUUGCCUGGGAAAUCCCAUGGACAGAGAAGCCUGUUGGGUUACAGUCCAUGGAGUCGCAAAAGAGUUGGAUACAACUUAUUGACCAAACAACAACAAUAUCAUUCUAAAAAAAAAAUAGUGGAAAAAAUAUUUGCCAAUCUGAUCAGCUGAAGAGGUAUUUUGAGCUUCCCUGGUGGCUCAGUGGUAAAGAAUCUGCCUGCAAUGCAGGAGACCUGGGUUCAAUCCCUGGGUUGAGAAGAUCUCCUGGAGAAGGAAAUGGCAACCCACUCCAGUAUUCUUGCCUGGAGAAUUCCAUGAACAGAGGAGCCUGGCUGGCUACAGUCCGUGGGGUUGCAAAGAGACAUGACCAAGCAGCUAACAUACUAAAGAGGUGUUUUGUAGUUAUUUUAAUUUGCAUGUAUUUAAUCAUGUGUGAAGCUGAACAUUUUUUCUCAUGUUUAUUUAUUAACCAUUUUUUCUCUGUUUUUGCAUCUCCUGUUGCUACCCUUUGUUCAUUUUCCUAUUCGGUUGUCUUUGUACUUUAUAUAAAUUAAAGAAAUUAACCCUUUGCUUGUUAUAUGAAUUAUAAAUAAUCCUGACUUAUGAGUCUUUUGCUUUUAUUUGCAGCAUUGUUUUUUCCAAAACAGAAAUGAAGAUUUUUGUGUUAUACACUGAAACUUCUAGAUGAGAGAUAUUUUAAAUUUCAAACAGCGAAUUCCGUGGUGGUCCACUGAUUAGGACUCUGUGCUUUCACUGCUGGGGUCUGGAGGGAGCUAAGAUCCUGCAAGCUGAGUGGUGUAACCAAAAACAAACCUUUCUUAAUCAAUAUUACUUGAUGAUAGCUCAGAUGUAAAGGGCCUGGGAGAGGAAGACAUCAAAGACAACAGCAGUGUUCCUAGGUUUGGGGAAUAAUAAUAGUGUCUUUACCAGGUUUCUCCGACAAGGAUUCUCUCAGUGAUAGGUCCUUCACCAUGAGCUUAGGGAGCUGAACUUUCAAAAUCAAGAGUUCAUUAGAGUUUACUGCUUUUAUUUUUUAAUAAAUGAUUUAGGAUUAAUUUUAGAUUUACAGAAAAGUUGCAAAGAUAGUAAGAGAUGGUUCUCAGAUACCUUAUGCCCAAUUUUUCCUAUUAUUAACGUAUUACAUUAACAUGGCGUAUUUAUAGCAAUUAAUGAGCCAAUAUUGACAUAUUGCUAUUGACAAAGUCCGUACUCUCUUCAGAUUUCCUUGGUUUUUAGUUUCAUAUCUUUUUUCUAUUCCAGGAUAAUGUCUUUUUUAGCUUCUUAUUGGCUGUGACAAUUGAGUUUCCUGAUUUUUGUCACUGUCAUUCCACAUCAAUUCACUAAUGGGAGCAAAAUCCUAUCUGAGCUAGCCGUCCCAGGUUAGAGGAUCAGCAGAUAACCGACUCUAGAUUCCUAUCUUGCCUCUCUUCCUGCUUUAAAUCCCCCUUUUCUGAGGCUGUGAGCCACCCUCCACUUCCUCUCCAUUCACUCCCGUACCCUGCACAUUCCUUCUUUGUCCUCUGACUUCAACCUAGUAUUGGUUGUCUUCAUUUGAAAUCAAAGACUGUUUUCUAGAUUCCUUUGCUAAGAUUAGGAUUAACCCCCACAUCUUCCCAUGAAUUUGCUUUAUUUAUUUAUAUAAUGGUUUGUUUAUCCCCUGAAUCAGGGUAGCUGGCUAGUUUUCUUAGCAGCUAGUCUCUAGUACAGUUCUAAGCCUGGAGUUGCUCCUGAUACUGGAGAGAAGGAGGACUAUAAUUAGCAGAGGCAGGGAAGUUGGGAAGGAGAACUGUUUACUAAGGAAUUUAGUGCACCUGGUUUGUAUGUGUCCUAAGCAAAGGUGAGAUGCACAAGUGCAGAAAUCCUGGAGCAAGUUAGAAGUACAGAUUUCGUACGCUGAUGAGAGGUCAGUGUUUAAAACAGAGCUUGGAGAGAUGUCUACUUUUGGAGGUGUCAGUAGGAAGCAUGAGAGUGAGAGAGAAGAGUAGGGGGAGAGGAAAAAACCUUGUCCACAGUCAGGGGACGGGGAAGACACUCCCACGUAGGAGGCAGGGGAGGAGCUGGAGUAGUAGAUCAUGGACAGAGCAUUGGUGUAGGAACCCAAGGAGAAAGGAAUAUGGAACACCAGGAAGCCAUUCAGUGUAGGGAGGACUAAGAAAAGCCUUCAGUUUCUGAACUCACCUGCAGAGGAGGGACGAGAGGACUUGGAACCCUCGCAUAAAAUAAAGUGCUUGACUCAGACAUAGUAAACAGAAAGGAAAGAAAUAAGACAGCUUCAAUCUUCAAAAGAAUGGGGCUAAAUUCCUCCUAUACAUCUUCAGGUCAUAAGGAAGGUAUCACAGGGAAGAAUUAUUGAAGAUGAUAGAGAAGAAAGGGAGGCUAGUGGAAAUAAGAUUCUAGCUUUUAGUUGUCCUACUUCACUUAGGAUGUCAACUCAUGAAGGCAGGGGUUUCUGUCUGUUUUGACUUCUUUAAUAUUCCAGGAGCCUAAAACAGUGUCUGGUACCUGGUGGGUUUUCAAUAAAUAUUGCUGAAUGGUGGAAAGGAACAGAAAUUAUUAAGUCUAGACACUAAGAGGAGAGGCUGGUUUUAGAAUGAACGAUAAAUAAAUAUAUCUUCGUCUAAGACCAUGAGGAAAACUGAGGAGCCAGAGGGGAAGAAGGAACUUAUACCCGAGGCCCUAAACUGAAUAAUAAGGUACCUGAUGAUGAUGGACUGCAGGAAAGCAGAUCUGGCAGGGAACUGAGGGCAACAAUCCCUUUCUGCUCCCAUGCAGGGAAGCCAAGAACUGGCUUGGGACACCAGCUGGGCACUCUUCCCAGCCCUUGCAUUCCAGCCGAAUACCCUACACAAUGAAGAAAGGGGACUGACAGUGCAGUGACAUGAUUUAGGUUAAUGAACUACUGAUCGUCUGCCAAGUGGGUGGGAAGUUGUUUUUGUCUGCUUGCUUCUAUGGAAAAAAAUUGUUAUGAAUGAUUCAUCUUGUCUCAUUACUCAAGAGCACAAAUUGAUAACAAGAGUUUAAAACCUAGGGAGAACAUAGCUACCUCCACCCUAUCCCACAGCCCAGUUUUUGGUGGAUGGGUACGUUCACCCUCUCACUUUCUUGAUUAUGAGGGUUUCACAGACGUGUGUGUGUGUAUGUAUAUAUACAUGUAUAUGUAUAUAUAUAGUCAAAUUGUAUAUUUAUAUGUGUGCAGUUCACUGUGUGUCAAUUAUACCUCAAUCAAGCUGUUUAGAAAAAGGAAAACAGAAUCUUACAUGUAAAAUUAUUUCAAUCACAGAGUUUGGAUUAUAUAUAAUAUAUAUACACACAUAUAUACACAGGGCUUCCCUGGUGGCUCAGAUGGUAAAGAAUCUGCCUGCAGUGUAGGAGACCCAGGUUUGAUCCCUGGGUCAGGAAGAUCCCCUGGAGAAGAGAAUGGCAACCCACUCCCGUAUUCUUGCCUGGAGAAUCCCACGGACCAAGGAGCCUGGCAGGCUACAAUUCAUAGAGUCGCAAAGAGUCAGACACGACUGAGCAACUAACACACACACACACACACACACACACAUAUAUACAUACAUAUAUAUAUAUUUACUUGCAUAUAUAAAUUCAUCUAAUUUAUCUUUACAAUCCAAGAGAAAGUCAUUUUGAAAUAAAUUAUUUGAGGGGAAAAUAAAGGUCAAUCUAGGGAGACAAGAUACAAAGAGAACCACUAAGAUUUCCAGCCACAUCCCGGGAUAAACUAAGGAAUUCCUUCUCUCAGGGGGAAAACUGAAGAGGAGAAAGAAAGUUUUUGGUUAGCUGGUGGUGAGAGUGUUGUGUUCUUUUUGUAAACUUUUUGUAAUUCUUCUUGAGGUCAUGCUGUCCUUGUAAUCUUCAACCUAUAGAAGACCCUCUCUUCCACAGCAUGGAGAGAAAGAUGGCUUUUUCCUAGGAAGGCCUGUUGCUCUGCCAUUCUGCUGCUGCCAAGGGUCACAUUUCUUCAUCCUCCUGAUACACUACAGAACUCGAGAGACACCGGUACAACUCACCACAUAGAUGGAUCUGGGGCCUGAGCGGUGAACCAAAUCCUGGCUGAGGCCGGUUUACUUUAAACUUUUCUGAAGAGGUUUUGUAAAUCAUUUCCAAAGGAAUUAAAUUUAAUCGAGUAAGGACUGAAAUUACUCCCACUGUGGUCUCUGCCAUCACCUGGCAGUCUUAGGGGUUUUAUGCCAGACAAUAUGCAUGAAACAGUGCUGGGUGCUGUUCUUAACCCUAAAGAGGCAGGGUUGGUUCUUGAUCUCAACUUGAAAUUCAGAAAGCCUAAAGAAUAAAAAUCCCUGGGGUGGGGAUAACAAAUCAAUAUUUACUUUGUGAGUUGGAACUGGUCUGCUUAAUAAAGCUCGUUCAUAAGUGAGAAGGGUAAAUAUCAACUCACUUCUUGAACUAACAGGCCCCCCAAUUCACCAAAAAUCUCCAAAGGACUAAAGGGAUAACAGCCAAGUGUGCUAGUAAUUGCUUUCUAGUCCUUCAGGCUGUGCCUCCAAAGCCAGUUCCUGCUUUUGGUCAGAUCACUCCCCAAACUUGUCAGCAUCAUGAUGCCCUUUAAAAAUUGUCUUCAUAGCACUUAACAGUGUUUCAUCAAUUAAUUUAUCUGUUUAUUUUCUGUCUCUUCUACACUGGAAGAGAAUCUCCAUGGAAGCAGGGAUCUUACCUCCUGUUUUCGACACUGUAUUGCUACAAUAAUGUAGUAUAAUGGCUUCCCCAAAAUGGGCUUCCCUUGUGGCUCAGUGGUAAAAAACCUGCCUGCCAACGCAGGAGAUGCAGGUUUGAUCCCUGGUUGGGAAUGUUAGGUUGUUAGAAUAGGAAAAAGGAGUCCAAAAUGGGGGUGGCUAAAAGACAAAAAGAGGAAAAAGUCCUUGAAAAGGGAGCAAAGGAAAAAUUUAUGGACCCAGAAUGGGAAUCUCAGGUGAAAUAAACACUCCCCCUUCCUGAUCAUUGAUAGGUGUUAUGCUAGUCUUAAUUUGCAAAGGGCAGGCUCAGGGGGAGGAGACAAAAGGUAUAAAACGAGGGAGCCAAGACAGGCUGGAGCCUUUCCUUCCAGGGUUGGCCUGCCCUCAUGCCUCCGGGGUGUAUUAUCCUUUGUUUACCAAAUAAAACUCUGAGCUGUAACCCUGGU